rnacentral:sRNA from 1 species
UUGCAUGAGGGAUCGAAACGGCAUCCUUUUAUUUUCCUUCUUUAGGAAAAUAAAAGAUAUAGUGAAGAGCCCGACCCUUG